rnacentral:misc_RNA from 1 species
GAUGAAGAACGUAGCGAAAUGCGAUAAGUAAUGUGAAUUGCAGAAUUCAGUGAAUCAUCGAAUCUUUGAACGCACAUUGCGCCCGCCAGUAUUCUGGCGAGCAUGCCUGUUCGAGCGUCAUUUCAACCAUCAAGCCCCAGGCUUGUGUUGGAGCCCUGCGGCUGCCGCAGCCUCCCAAAACCGGUGGCGGGCUCGCUAUCACACCGAGUGCAGUAGUUUACUCUUCGCUCAGGGCGUGUGGCGGGUGCUAGCCGUGAAACCCCCAACUUCUCAAGGUUGACCUCGGAUCAGGUAGGAAUACCCGCUGAACUUAAGCAUAUCAAUAAGCGGAGGA